UGGUAAAAAGAGGACUUUAACCUCUGUAAUUGGGACUACAAGCCACCGCCUAUCAUCUGGGCUAUUUUACC
rnacentral:tRNA from 1 species